rnacentral:tRNA from 1 species
GGGCCGUUAGCUCAAUUGGCAGAGCAUCGGACUUUUAAUCCGUUGGUUGUGGGUUCGAGUCCCACACGGCCCA